AAAAUAUGAAGUUCUAUAUAAUUACCGCGAACCACGUAACGAGGUAUUUUAAUAUCGCGCAUAAAAAACGAUUUUUUGCCAUAGUGUACGAGUCCCCUAACAAUUCGGGUGACUCCUUUAAAGGAAUACGAACGAAAAAUCUACCAAACUCGUCACGUUUAGUAGUCUCUGUAAAUAACUUCUCACAAUAACGAUCAUCAUUCGACAUGAUAUUUGGUUUAAACGACUUAUUAAUAUGAAGAGGGCCAGAGAUGAUCCAUCCUAAUUUGGAAUCGUACAAAUAUGGACCACUGCUAAUUUUAAUCUUAUUAUUAUUUAAAAGAUCCCAAAAUAUGUCCGCUCCUAACAAUAUAUCAAUGUCCGACGAAACGCUAAACGUAGGGUCCGCGAGCGAAACAUGUUUAGGAAUCUGUAUACAUUUACAGUGAACGUCUAACGAAGGUAACUUCGAUGUUAUACGAGGAAGAACCCAACAUUGAAUAUUAGUAUUAAAAUCAUUAACUUU